rnacentral:rRNA from 1 species
AACGAACGCUGGCGGCGCGCCUAACACAUGCAAGUCGAGCGAAUCAUUAGGAGCUUGCUCCUUUUGGUUAGCGGCGGACGGGUGAGUAACACGUGGGCAACCUGCCUAUAAGACUGGGAUAACUUCGGGAAACCGGAGCUAAUACCGGAUAAUCCUUUUCCUCUCAUGUGGAAAAGCUGAAAGACGGUUUCGGCUGUCACUUAUAGAUGGGCCCGCGGCGCAUUAGCUAGUUGGUGAGGUAACGGCUCACCAAGGCGACGAUGCGUAGCCGACCUGAGAGGGUGAUCGGCCACACUGGGACUGAGACACGGCCCAGACUCCUACGGGAGGCAGCAGUAGGGAAUCUUCCGCAAUGGACGAAAGUCUGACGGAGCAACGCCGCGUGAACGAUGAAGGCCUUCGGGUCGUAAAGUUCUGUUGUUAGGGAAGAACAAGUACCGGAGUAACUGCCGGUACCUUGACGGUACCUAACCAGAAAGCCACGGCUAACUACGUGCCAGCCGCCGCAGUAACAC